rnacentral:rRNA from 1 species
GUGCCAGCAGCCGCGGUAAUACGUAGGGUGCAAGCGUUGUCCGGAAUUACUGGGCGUAAAGAGCUCGUAGGCGGUUUGUCACGUCGUCUGUGAAAUCCUCCAGCUCAACUGGGGGCGUGCAGGCGAUACGGGCAGACUUGAGUACUACAGGGGAGACUGGAAUUCCUGGUGUAGCGGUGAAAUGCGCAGAUAUCAGGAGGAACACCGGUGGCGAAGGCGGGUCUCUGGGUAGUAACUGACGCUGAGGAGCGAAAGCAUGGGGAGCAAACAGGAUUAGAUACCCUGGUAGUCC